GUUCCGGAUUGAAGGGCAGGAUAGCCGGCC
rnacentral:piRNA from 1 species